AACGAACGCUGGCGGCAUGCCUAACACAUGCAAGUCGAACGAGACCUUCGGGUCUAGUGGCGCACGGGUGCGUAACGCGUGGGAACCUGCCCUUAGGUUCGGAAUACCUCCCCGACAGGGGUGCUAAUACCGGAUAAUGUCUUCGGACCAAAGAUUUAUUGCCUUUGGAUGGGCCCGCGUUGGAUUAGCUAGUUGGUAGGGUAAUAGCCUACCAAGGCGACGAUCCAUAGCUGGUCUGAGAGGAUGAUCAGCCACACUGGGACUGAGACACGGCCGAGACUCCUACGGGAGGCAGCAGUGGGGAAUAUUGGACAAUGGGCGAAAGCCUGAUCCUGCAAUGCCGCGUGAGUGAUGAAGGCCUUAGGGUUGUAAAGCUCUUUUACCCGGGAUGAUAAUGACAGUACCGAGAGAAUAAGCCCCGGCUAACUCCGUG
rnacentral:rRNA from 1 species